rnacentral:rRNA from 1 species
GAUGAACGCUGGCGGCGUGCAUAACACAUUCAAGUCGAACGGGAAUCGGAUGAUUGAGACUUCGGUCGAUUGAUUUCAAGGAUAGUGGCGGACGGGUGAGUAACGCGUGAGCAACCUGCCUUUGUGAGGGGGAUACCGUCUGGAAACGGACGUUAAUACCGCAUAACACAAGAAGGUCGCAUGACCUUCUUGUCAAAGAUUUAUUGCUGAAAGAUGGCCUCGCGUCUGAUUAGCUAGUUGGUGAGGUAACGGCCCACCAAGGCGACGAUCAGUAGCCGGUCUGAGAGGAUGAACGGCCACAUUGGGACUGAGAUACGGCCCAGACUCCUACGGGAGGCAGCAGUGGGGAAUAUUGGGCAAUGGGCGAAAGCCUGACCCAGCAACGCCGCGUGAAGGAAGAAGGCCUCGGUUGU